UACGAAGGGGGCUAGCGUUGCUCGGAAUCACUGGGCGUAAAGCGCACGUAGGCGGCUUAGCAAGUCGGAAGUGAAAUCCCACGGCUCAACCAUGGAAGCGCUUUCGAAACUGCUGAGCUUGAGUACGAAAGAGGAUCGCGGAAUUCCCGGUGUAGAGGUGAAAUUCGUAGAUAUCGGGAGGAACACCAGUGGCGAAGGCGGCGAUCUGGGUCGAUACUGACGCUGAGGUGCGAAAGCGUGGGGAGCAAACAGG
rnacentral:rRNA from 1 species